rnacentral:rRNA from 1 species
GACGAACGCUGGCGGCGUGCUUAACACAUGCAAGUCGAACGGAAAGGCCCUGCUUUUGUGGGGUGCUCGAGUGGCGAACGGGUGAGUAACACGUGAGUAACCUGCCCUUGACUUUGGGAUAACUUCAGGAAACUGGGGCUAAUACCGGAUAGGAGCUCCUGCUGCAUGGUGGGGGUUGGAAAGUUUCGGCGGUUGGGGAUGGACUCGCGGCUUAUCAGCUUGUUGGUGGGGUAGUGGCUUACCAAGGCUUUGACGGGUAGCCGGCCUGAGAGGGUGACCGGCCACAUUGGAACUGAGAUACGGCCCAGACUCCUACGGGGGGCAGCAGUGGGGAAUAUUGCACAAUGGGCGGAAGCCUGAUGCAGCAACGCCGCGUGCGGGAUGACGGCCUUCGGGUUGUAAACCGCUUUCGCCUGUGACGAAGCGUGAGUGACGGUAAUGGGUAAAGAAGCACCGGCUAACUACGUG